rnacentral:rRNA from 1 species
UAAGGAAUAUUGGUCAAUGGACGCAAGUCUGAACCAGCCAUGCCGCGUGGAGGAUGAAGGCCCUCUGGGUUGUAAACUUCUUUUAUAUGGGACGAAACCCUCUCAUUCUUGAGAGACUGACGGUACCAUAGGAAUAAGCACCGGCUAACUCCGUGCCAGCAGCCGCGGUAAUACGGAGGGUGCAAGCGUUAUCCGGAUUCACUGGGUUUAAAGGGUGCGUAGGAGGGCAGGUAAGUCAGUGGUGAAAUCCCCGAGCUUAACUUGGGAACUGCCGUUGAUACUAUCUGUCUUGAAUAUUGUGGAGGUGAGCGGAAUAUGUCAUGUAGCGGUGAAAUGCUUAGAUAUGACAUAGAACACCAAUUGCGAAGGCAGCUCGCUACACAAAUAUUGACUCUGAGGCACGAAAGCGUGGGGAUCAAAACAGGAUUAGAUACCCUGGUAGUCCACGCCCUAAAACGAUGGAUACUCGACAUACGCGAUACACAGUGUGUGUCUGAGCG